GCUCGGAAAGUAAUCAAUAACAGAGGUGGGUUCAGGAAGCUUUAAGAAUAUGGUACUAAAUACAUUCUUCUCUUCAUUGCAAUUCAAUCCGUUGGCCUUCUUUACAGCUGAAGCAGAUAAUCUUUCUUCACUUGCCCUGCUGCUUGUCUUUGAGUGGAAUUCUUCUUAGUACUUGUCUAGUCCAGUGGAAUCAGUAGUAGUUAACUGAGUUAGAUGAGCCGAGCCAAAGGAAAGGUAUUGUUGCCAUAGUUGUUCUAGUGGCUUAGCCAUAGUAGUUAUAGUAGCUUGAGUUGGAAGAGAAGAUAGCCUAAUUCAGUUAAUGCCAGCUACGAAUAGGGUAAGAUCCAUUAGAAUAGUAGCAUAGAUAUAGGUAAUUAACCACUCCGCCUAGCCUAGGUAUGAUUUGUGAAGAUGAAGACUAAAGUAAUAGGGUUUUGUAUAGAAUGAAGUAAGAAGAGAGCACACUCCAAAUGAAAGGUUAACUCAGGACGCGGAUCAGAUGAAACAGAAUAAGAAGAAAGAUCUGCUCUGGAUCAGAAGAAAGUCAAUCUGGUAUUCAUCAAACUCAUAAUCUGGUGGAGGCUGUCUUCAAAUUCCAUUCUUCAGUAAGUAGCUUGUCGACUUUCCCUUACUUAUUUAAGUCGGAUACUUAUGAACUUCCUGGUGUGCUCUCCUAUUGCUCUUUGUUGACUACUUGGUUGAGUUCCCGAAUCAGCUGUUCUCAAGUAAGUUGCAAGCGGGUAUCUUGACUCUAUUAAUUAGUAUAAAGUUACUUCACCGUCAAGAUAGGGGUGUCUCCUAAAUGACAUCUUAUAUAAUGGAACUUCUGAAACAGCCAAUCUCUAUCUCUAAGGAAUGAAUGCCUACUAUCGAGCUACCCCUUAUAGUGCUAGAAAGAAGAAUGGAAGUAGUAACUAUUGAAUACCUUAACUCAGGCCUAAUAUCUAAUUCAAGCUUGAGUGGAAGUAGAAGGCUAGGAAGGUAAGAAAUCAACAAGUAAGUAGAAGCCUGUGAACUUAUAUACAAGUGAACAGUAUAAUAAACCCAUAUAAAUUCUAG
rnacentral:lncRNA from 1 species